GUCUCAAUGUCAAAUGAAUUCUAUGCCGGACGAGCCCCCAAUUUUGUUAUGGUGAAUAAAUUGCCGUGACAAAAGGUUUAAAGUUCCCUUUGAACCAGCAAAAUAAAGCUCAGACAAGUCUUAAAUAUUCAAUAAUGUAUUGAACAAACAAUGAGCAGGGUACAAUGAAUCACAAUACAGAUUUCUAGUACAAUGCAAUUGAGUCACAA